rnacentral:rRNA from 1 species
UACAGAGGUCUCGAGCGUUAGGCGGAAUCACUGGGCUUAAAGCGUGUGUAGGCGGAUCGUUAAGUGCCUUGUGAAAUCCCACGGCUCAACCGUGGAACUGCUUGGCAUACUGGCGGUCUUGAGCAACCUAGGGGCGAGCGGAACAAAUGGUGGAGCGGUGAAAUGCGUAGAUAUCAUUUGGAACGCCAAUGGUGAAAACAGCUCGCUGGGGGUUUGCUGACGCUGAGGCACGAAAGCUAGGGUAGCGAACGGG